AUGCAAAAUAAUGCAGCUCUCCAUCUUCCUUCCUUCCUUCCCCUCUACUGGUGUCAAUCAGGCAGCAUGGAGGUGAGUUCCUACUCCCAUCCCCUGGCAAGUGCCAUGAAUAAGUGCCCUCCUUCUUCCCUUCUGGGUCUCAGCAAAGCCCAGCCAAGAGCUGAGUUUAUACCCCCUAUUUGAAGGCAAGAACAUGGUAUAGACUGGUGCCCAACUUUCAUUCACCAAGAAGGUGUAAGCAGAGCCAAGGGGGAGCUAUCCUUCAAUCCCACCCAUCUGCUAAGAGAGUGUGUAAACACUUCACUUUUACCGAGAUGCUAUUCGUAGUGUCCACCAAAAAACUAAAUAUAUACACACAUCUGGCUUUUGGGCUACACCUCAACAAAGGGAAUACUUGCUAAAAUAAAUGAAUAUUAAAAAAAAGGUUCCAGAGUCUCAUAAUUCCAAAAUGUCUGGAGAAAAUUAAAAAGUCGCUCAUCAUCCUAAGAACUAGGAAAAUCACACGAGUGAGACAAGACAAUCAAUAGAUGUCCGUAUUAAAAUCAAUGGGAUGUUGAAAUUAUCCGACAAGAUUGCUAAAUCAGCUAUAAUAAAAAUCCUUCAAUAAGCAAUUAUGAAUUCUCUUAAAACUGAAAAACUAGAAAAUCUCAGUAAAGAAAUAGGAAUAAAGCAAUAGCACAGCUACAACAUGGAUGAAUCUAAGAAAACAUUAUGCUAAGUGAAUAAGGCAGUUACAAAACACACACACAUACACGCUCAUAUUGUAUGAUAAAAUUUACAUGAAAUCUCCAGAGCAGACAAAUCUAUAGACAGAAAGUAGAUUAAUGGUUGCCUGGAGUUGAUGGUGGUGUAGAAAAAGGAAUGACUGUUAGUGGGUACAGGUUUCUUUGGGACUGAUGGAAAUGUUCCAAAAUUAGAUUACAGUGAUGUUUGUGCAACUCUACAAAUAUACUGAAAGCUACUGAAUUAUAUACACUUCACGAGUGAAUUUUAUAGUAUAUAAAUUGUAUCUUGAUAUGAUUUAAUAUAAAAUUUAAAUUAAUGAUUAAAUUUUAAGAAGAAUCAAUCUGCCAAACUAAAAAGUAUAGUAACCGAAAAUCUUUCUGAUCUAACUAAGCAGAGUGGAAACAGAGGACAGAAAUCAGUGAACCUGAGGACAGAUCAAUCAGGAUUUACCCUGAACAAGAAAGAGAAAAUAGACUGAAGAAAUGAAGAGAGCCUGUGGAACCUGCAGGACAAUAACAAAAGAUCCAUCAUCAGAGUCCCAAAAAGAUACAAGAAAGACAGGGGAGCUGAAAGUGUUUUAAGAAGUAGUGGUGGAAUACUUCCCAAAUUUUUCAAGUGCUCAGAGAAAAGAACUGUCAACCAUGAAUACUACAUCCAAUGAGGAAUAAAGGGGAAAAAAAGACAUUCUCAGACAAAAGAAAACUAAAGACUUUGCUCCUAGUAGACCUACCCUUAUAAAUUGGCUAAUGGGAGUUCUUCAAACAGAAUGAAAAUGAUGAAAGAAGGAAUCCUGGACCAUCAGAAACAAAGAACAAAGAAGCAGAAAUAUGGGUGCAUACAAUGGACUCAUUUCAUAAGUUUUAGAAAUGCUUUUUGAUGAUUGAAAAAAAUUAUACACCAUAUUGUGAUCAGGAAAAAGAUGUUUAAAAGUGGUGAAAGAAAAAAGAUAUAUAUGGAAGUAAGUUUUCACACUUGACUUAAAGUGGUAAAAUGUUAAUACAAGUAGACUGUGAUAUGCUCUGUAUGCUUAUUGUAAUACUUAGAAUAAACUCUAAAAAAACUAUAUACAAAGUGAUAUACUCAAAAACACUAUAAAUAAAUCAAGAAGGAAUCCUAAAUAUUAUUCAAUCAACCCAAAAGAAGGUAAGAGAAACAGAUCAUUUGAAAAGGGGGAAAGGGAUGCCUGGGUGGCUCAGUGGUUUAGCACCUGCCUUUAAGCCAGGGCGUGAUCCUGGAGACCCGGAAUCAAGUCCCACAUCCGGCUCCCAGCAUGGAGCCUGCUUCUCCCUCUGCCUGUGUCUCUGCCUCUCCCUCUCUCUCUGUGUCCCAUGAAUAAAUAAAUAAAAUCUUAAAAAUAAAAUAAAAUAAAUAAUAAAUAAAAAGGGGGGAAAACAGAAAACAAAAAUAGAUUUUAGCCCUAAACAUAUCAACAAUUACCUUAAAUGUAAAUGACCUAAAUAUGCCAAUUAAAAAACAGAUAUUUGCAGAGUGGGUACAUAAAUAUGAUCCAACAAGAUGCCAUUGACAAGAAACUCACUUCAAAUAUGACGACAUUUUUGUACAGGAUGGCAAAAGAUAUCCUAUGCAAACAGUAACUUAGAAAUGCAGGGUGGUAAAUUAAAGCCAGAUAAAGUAAACUUCAGAGAAAAGAAAAUUCCUAGAGACAAAGAGGGACAUUACAUAAUGAUAAGAGGAUCAAUCCACCAGGAAGUCAUGAUAAUUCUAAAUACUAAAUACACCUGUAUGAAAAAAGAGCCUCAAAAUACAUAAAGCAAAAAUUGAUAAACUGAAAGAAGAAAUAGACAAAUCUACAAUUAUAGUUAGGGAUUUCAACACUUCAGUUUCAGAAACUGAUUGCUAGGUAGAAAAUCAGUAAGGAUAUAAAAUGACCAACACAAUCAUCUAACAGGAUCUAAUUGUAUACAGAACAUUCUAUCCAACAACAGUAGAAUAAAUAUUUUAAGAGCCCAUGGAACAUGUACCAACAGAGACUACAUCUUAAGCCAUAAAAUAAACUUCAACAAAUGUAAAAGAAUUAAAAUACAACAGAUUUCUUCCUAACUUAAUAGAUUUUUUUCUAGCUUCAACCUAAAAAAUCAUUACCAGAAAACGACCAGAAAAUUUCCACACAUUUCUGAAUAAUCCAUGAGUAAAAAGGAAUUUUCACAGGAAAGAUAAAAAUACAUAGAAUUCAAUAAAAAUGAAAAUGCACUAGGUCAAAAUAUGUGGAUAUAGCUAAAGUACUGAAGGAGAAGUUAUAGCCCUAAUAUAAAAAAGAGGAACAGUUUGAAAACAUUGCUCCCACCUCAAAAAAAU
rnacentral:lncRNA from 1 species